CACUAUGAAGCUAAAUAGCAUUAACCUUUUAAGUUAAAGAUUGAGAAAUUAAUUCUCCAUAGUGA
rnacentral:tRNA from 1 species